rnacentral:rRNA from 1 species
GAUGAACGCUGGCGGCGUGCUUAACACAUGCAAGUCGAACGAGAAAUGAUAUUACGAUCUCUUGGAGUGACAGUUUUAUUUCGAGUGGCGGACGGGUGAGUAACGCGUGAGCAACCUGCCCUAUACCGGGGGAUACCAGUUGGAAACGACUGUUAAUACCGCAUAAGCGCACGAUAAGACAUCUUGUUGUGUGAAAAACUCUGGUGGUAUAGGAUGGGCUCGCGUAUGAUUAGCCAGUUGGCGGGGUAAAGGCCCACCAAAGCGACGAUCAUUAGCCGACCUGAGAGGGCGACCGGCCACAUUGGGACUGAGACACGGCCCAAACUCCUACGGGAGGCAGCAGUGGGGAAUAUUGCACAAUGGGCGAAAGCCUGAUGCAGCGACGCCGCGUGAGUGAGGAAGUAUUUCGGUAUGUAAAGCUCUAUCAGCAGGGAAGAAAAAAAUGACGGACCUGA